AUUGAACGCUGGCGGCAUGCCUUACACAUGCAAGUCGAACGGCAGCGGGCCUUCGGGUGCCGGCGAGUGGCGAACGGGUGAGUAAUGCAUCGGAACGUGCCAUUGAGUGGGGGAUAACGUAGCGAAAGUUACGCUAAUACCGCAUAUUCUGUGAGCAGGAAAGCAGGGGAUCGCAAGACCUUGCGCUCUGGGAGCGGCCGAUGUCGGAUUAGCUAGUUGGUGGGGUAAAGGCCUACCAAGGCGACGAUCCGUAGCGGGUCUGAGAGGAUGAUCCGCCACACUGGAACUGAGACACGGUCCAGACUCCUACGGGGGGCAGCAGUGGGGAAUCUUCCACAAUGGGCGAAAGCCUGAUGGAGCGACGCCGCGUGAGCGAAGAAGGCCUUCGGGUUGUAAAGCUCUGUCUGGAGGGACGAAGGAAGUGACGGUACCUCCGGAGGAAGCCACGGCUAACUACGUG
rnacentral:rRNA from 1 species